rnacentral:rRNA from 1 species
AUGGCGAACGCAGGAGGCGAGCGCCCCGCUUGGGGCGCAGAUCUGGUGGAGCAGGCGCGGCAGGUCGUUGCGGGCACCUUUGUGAGGGGAUGUGCCGGCGUCCAGCGCGGUGCUCCCCCGCUGCAGAUCUGGAGAAGGCGGGGGCAGGCUGCAGCGGUGCAGUCUAGCCAGAUGCGCCCGCUCUGGCAAUCUCCGGCGAGGCGCAGAAGGUGGAGGCGGGCUCUGGCGAGGCACAGAAGGUGGAGGCGGGCUUUGGCGAGGCGCGCGAGGUGGAGAAGGUGGAGGCCGGCUCUGGCGAGGAGCAGGCGGAGCAGAAGGUAUCUGCUUAUCACUUUAAUGUGGUAG